rnacentral:lncRNA from 1 species
CCUGCCCUGUGCUGCUUCCCUCCCUUUCUCCUGAGAGUAUUUCUCAAUAAAUUCAUUGGUUAAAAUUAAUUUCAAUCUCUGUUUCUAGGUAUCCUGACCUCAGAUAGACCCAGAGAGAGGUUUCAUCAAAAGAGUAGGUGACAACUUGACUAAGUCUUGGGGACACAUAUGGAACAGAGGACAUGAUAUUCAAGCAAGAGGAGCCCCAUGGAGGAAAAGGUCAGCUGCAGAACCAAGGGCAUGCUGUUUCACAGGGAUCAGCCCUGCUCCCAGCUGCAGGUGACAGAAAAGUCAGCUCAAAGUGGCUACCAAAACAAGAAACCCCACUGACAUUCGGACUGGAAAUCAGAAGUGGGAGGCUUGGAUCCAGCAGUCCAUCAGGGACCCAGGCUCUUCAUGCCUCUCCUCUCUGCCCUGUGUUCUUCAUCCUAGACCUGGAUCCCCUAUGUUCUUGCGAAGGCCAUCAGGAGCCACCUGGUCAUCUGCCUCCUCUAAGAACAGAUUCACUUUGCUGUACACCUGAAACUAAUACAACACUGCAAGCCAACUAUGCUCCAAAAAAAAGAAAAAAAGGCUUUGACAGAACCUUCAGCCACCUUCUUCUUAAGUCUGACUGA